UGUUUUCUUUUCCAUGACAAUGAAAUAGUAUGAUUCAACACCUAAUUGAUGUUUGGUUUUGCAUUUUUUUUUUAAAGAAGAAGGUUAAUGGACAUGCAUCUCAGUUAAUCUGAUUGAUUGCUUUCAGCCUUGAGAAGAGGGUCAACAAAAAAGUUAUGGCAAUUUUCGAGAAAGCUGAAGAUGAAUACAAUGAAUUAUUAUCCAAGAAAAACAUCAUUGAGAAUGAUAAGUCAAAAAUCAAGAAGGUGAUUGAAGAGCUUGAUGAAAAGUAGAAGGAAACACUAAAAGUUACUUGGGUUAAAGUGAACAAGUGAGUCAACACUUCUCUGCUCUCAUGUUCCAGUUCA